rnacentral:lncRNA from 1 species
CUGGGGCCAUUGGCCCGGGGUCACAGCACGGUGGCUCUGAAGGAGGAUUUCCCUUCUGUUUCCGAGCAGUGUCAGGACUCCAGUGUUACGGCUGCAACAUCGUGGUUGGCACCAAAAACGUGGACAUGGGGUGCUCCAACCCCGAGGUGAUCACCUGCUCCCAGUCCCACCAGGGCUUCAAGCACCGGUUCUGCAUUAAAACAGAGAGCGUGGUCCUGGGCAUCCUGCUGACCAGCGGCUGUGCCACCUCUCGCCACUGCCAGCAGCAGGAGCUGCCGGGGGUCCGCAUCCACUGCUGCGACACCGACCUGUGCAACACCUCCCCCGGAGCCCCCCGGCCGCCCCCCGGCCACCUCCUGCUGCUGCCCUGCAUCCUCACCGCCCUGCUCCUCUGGUGAGCCCCCCGUGGGUCUGGGGGAUGUGCCCGGCUCGUGGGUGGGUGCUGGCAGCUGGGUGCCCCCCUGGCUGCUCCCCAGGGUGGGCAGCAUGCCCUUCUCUCCUCUUCCUCAAUAAAAGGUGCCGAACGCUGCGCCCUGGAGAGGUGUCGGUGAUGCUCCCUGAACUCGGGGGGUACCCACAGCAUCCCGGGGAAGGAGGAACGCAAGGUUUGGGGAUCUUCCCAUAUCCUGGUGGGAUUCAGGAGGGCGGCUGAGCCCCGCUCUUCCCACGAGAGGGCAUCCGCCAGCCUCGCUCCGCAUCCCGGCCGCGGGGAUGGAGCAGCAUCCCCAGCACCGGGGGUGGGCGCUGGGCUGGGGGACCGAGCCGGUGGGAAAAGAAAAGAAAAGAAAGAGCAGAAUUUCCAGGCGUUUUUCCCAGCUGAAGAAGCCAAACGGGAGUUUUAACAGAAAAAAAAAAAAAAAAUAUAUAUAUAUAUAUAUAAAUCCCAUCCCGUGCGGAUCGGAGCCCGAGUGGCUGCUCCAAGGUCAUGGCAGGGCUGGGAAUUAAACACAUCUGUCUCAAGAGCCAGCCCUGUGUCUUUAUCACCAGGGAAACAGCAUAAACCUCGCUGUGAGAAGGGGAGGAAAUAGUUUUUAUUCUAUUUUUUUUCCUUCAGAUGAAAAAAAAAAAAAAUAAUGCAAAAGACCUUUUCCAUGCAAAACAUCAGCUUUUGAUGACAUUUCUCAGAUGUGUCUCAGAAAACAAGCCAAAACUCUACUAAAAAUAUUAUCUGAGGCACCUUCCCAAGAGAAACACCUUGGGACUGAUACAAAACACGUUCAGAUUCUGAAGAUUCAAAAUAAAAGGAAAUCAGAAAACAAAUCCUAGAAGAAAAAUGACAAGAGCAGCAACAGUACCCAAUUCCCCCUCUUUCCCCUUAAAACGUUCCUUAUGAUUUUCAGGGGAGCAGGAAACAUUUCCUUGGCAGCUGGAGUUAUUCUGGCUACUGGUUAUUUAUCUGCCUGUGCUGAACUCCUGGCAAAAGCCCUCUCCAGUAUCAAUUCCCAAUGAUCCAGGAUGGGGCAGAUUUUAUGGCCUGAGGAUGGGGAUGGGGCAGAGCUGAUGGCUGAAGAAUUGGGAUGGGGCAGAUUUUAUGGCCUCAGGAUGAGGAUAGGUCAGAG